rnacentral:rRNA from 1 species
UACGUAGGGUGCAAGCGUUGUCCGGAAUUAUUGGGCGUAAAGAGCUCGUAGGCGGCCUGUCACGUCGGCUGUGAAAACCCGGGGCUCAACCCCGGGCCUGCAGUCGAUACGGGCAGGCUAGAGUUCGGCAGGGGAGACUGGAAUUCCUGGUGUAGCGGUGAAAUGCGCAGAUAUCAGGAGGAACACCGGUGGCGAAGGCGGGUCUCUGGGCCGACACUGACGCUGAGGCGCGAAAGCGUGGGGAGCGAACAGG